rnacentral:rRNA from 3 species
UUAAAUUGAAGAGUUUGAUCAUGGCUCAGAUUGAACGCUGGCGGCAGGCCUAACACAUGCAAGUCGAACGGUAACAGGAAGCAGCUUGCUGCUUUGCUGACGAGUGGCGGACGGGUGAGUAAUGUCUGGGAAACUGCCUGAUGGAGGGGGAUAACUACUGGAAACGGUGGCUAAUACCGCAUAACGUCGCAAGACCAAAGAGGGGGACCUUCGGGCCUCUUGCCAUCAGAUGUGCCCAGAUGGGAUUAGCUUGUUGGUGAGGUAACGGCUCACCAAGGCGACGAUCCCUAGCUGGUCUGAGAGGAUGACCAGCCACACUGGAACUGAGACACGGUCCAGACUCCUACGGGAGGCAGCAGUGGGGAAUAUUGCACAAUGGGCGCAAGCCUGAUGCAGCCAUGCCGCGUGUAUGAAGAAGGCCUUCGGGUUGUAAAGUACUUUCAGCGGGGAGGAAGGUGUUGUGGUUAAUAACCGCAGCAAUUGACGUUACCCGCAGAAGAAGCACCGGCUAACUCCGUGCCAGCAGCCGCGGUAAUACGGAGGGUGCAAGCGUUAAUCGGAAUUACUGGGCGUAAAGCGCACGCAGGCGGUCUGUCAAGUCGGAUGUGAAAUCCCCGGGCUCAACCUGGGAACUGCAUUCGAAACUGGCAGGCUUGAGUCUUGUAGAGGGGGGUAGAAUUCCAGGUGUAGCGGUGAAAUGCGUAGAGAUCUGGAGGAAUACCGGUGGCGAAGGCGGCCCCCUGGACAAAGACUGACGCUCAGGUGCGAAAGCGUGGGGAGCAAACAGGAUUAGAUACCCUGGUAGUCCACGCCGUAAACGAUGUCUACUUGGAGGUUGUGCCCUUGAGGCGUGGCUUCCGGAGCUAACGCGUUAAGUAGACCGCCUGGGGAGUACGGCCGCAAGGUUAAAACUCAAAUGAAUUGACGGGGGCCCGCACAAGCGGUGGAGCAUGUGGUUUAAUUCGAUGCAACGCGAAGAACCUUACCUGGUCUUGACAUCCACGGAAGUUUUCAGAGAUGAGAAUGUGCCUUCGGGAACCGUGAGACAGGUGCUGCAUGGCUGUCGUCAGCUCGUGUUGUGAAAUGUUGGGUUAAGUCCCGCAACGAGCGCAACCCUUAUCCUUUGUUGCCAGCGAUUAGGUCGGGAACUCAAAGGAGACUGCCAGUGAUAAACUGGAGGAAGGUGGGGAUGACGUCAAGUCAUCAUGGCCCUUACGACCAGGGCUACACACGUGCUACAAUGGCGCAUACAAAGAGAAGCGACCUCGCGAGAGCAAGCGGACCUCAUAAAGUGCGUCGUAGUCCGGAUUGGAGUCUGCAACUCGACUCCAUGAAGUCGGAAUCGCUAGUAAUCGUGGAUCAGAAUGCCACGGUGAAUACGUUCCCGGGCCUUGUACACACCGCCCGUCACACCAUGGGAGUGGGUUGCAAAAGAAGUAGGUAGCUUAACCUUCGGGAGGGCGCUUACCACUUUGUGAUUCAUGACUGGGGUGAAGUCGUAACAAGGUAACCGUAGGGGAACCUGCGGUUGGAUCACCUCCUUACCUUAAAGAA